UUCAUACUCCCUCCGUACGGAAGUACUUGUCGCAGAAAUGGAUGUAUCUAGAUGUAUUUUGGUUCUAGAUACAUCCAUUUUUGAGACAAGUAAUUCCGAACGGAGGGAGUACUUU
rfam:Triticum aestivum genome assembly, contig: Triticum_aestivum_CS42_TGACv1_scaffold_559451_7AL